CCUCUCUCCCUCUCUCUCCCUCUCUCUGGUUGUUUAUCUGUCUGUGUCUCUUCCUUUGUCUCCCCUUGUCCUCUUCUCUCCCCCAGACCACUGGCUCCGUUAAGAUGGAAACUAUUCUGGGCUUUUUUUUAAAAGCUUACUCACACAUUCCUUCAUACCACUGUUAUUUAAAGACAGACACACACAUGCACACACUAACACACCCACACCCACACACACACACACACACACACACACACACACACACACACACACACACACACACACACACACACACACACACACACACACACACACACACACACACAGACCCCAGCAAGCAUGCACACUCACACACACACAAACACCUCAGUGCAAACAGUUUAAGACUAAAGUUUCCGAGGAGGAGAGGAGACUAGAGUAAGAGACGAAAGGAGGAGAGGAGAGGAGAGGAAGAGAGGAAAGGAGGCCAGGAGAGGAAGAGAGGAAAGGAGGCCAGGAGAGGAGGAGAGGAAAGGAGGAGAGGAGAGGAGAGGAAGAGAGGAAAGGAGGCCAGGAGAGGAGAGGAAGAGAGGAAAGGAGGAGAGGAGAGGAAGAGAGGAAAGGAGGCCAGGAGAGGAAUACAGGAAAGGAUGAGAGGAGAGGAGUGAAGAGGAAAGGAGAUGAGAUAAGAGGAUAUAAGAGUAUUAUAGGAGAGGAGAGGAAGAGAGGAAAGGAGGAGAGGAGAGGAGUCAAAAGGAAAGGAGAUGAGAUAAGAGGAUAUAAAAGUAUUAUAGGAGAGGAGAGGAAGAGAGGAAAGGAGGAGAGGAGAGGAGAGGAAGAGAGGAAAGGAGGGAGAGAGAGGAGAGGAAGAGAGGAAAGGAGAUGAAGAGAGGAGAGGAAGAGAGGAAAGGAGGAGAGGAGAGGAGUCAAAAGGAAAGGAGAUGAGAUAAGAGGAUAUAAAAGUAUUAUAGGAGAGGGUGAACAAGAUAAGAUAAGAGGCAGAUGGAAGAAAGGAGUGAAUAAUGAAAGAGAAGAGGAGUGCGGAGAAGGGGACAAUUAAAAAUGUAACAAUUUUUAACUGAAAAGACCAUAUGGGAUCCUCAGUUUGAUGCCCUCAAAGAGAUUCUCAGCUCCAAUGCGGCGAUCCUUACCCUAAAAAGGAAAUGCCCGGAACAUAAGAACAUGAAUCCAUUUCAUGAAGCCAAAGAACGACCAGAACAUAAACUACUACUACGUCUCCAGGGUCCUCCUGGGGGCAGGAACGACGAGCGGUCAGAGUGGUUCCAGUGGAAGGUCCUAGGUUCAAUACCCAGAUGUCCCUUAAGUGUACCGGUAGCUAACCCCUACCUGCUCCUUAACGACACCUUAAAACAUCUACCCGUUGCCAUGGAUAUGCUCUAUAAGCUGGAUGGAGAUCCUCUGGGAAUGGGUCUCACUGACAGCAUGUGAGGGGGGGCUGGGGGGACUAGCCCCCACUGGUCAGAGUGAUGGAUGGUUACCACGGGGAUGGUCAGUCCUCAGCGGAUGGGACGGGAAUAGGGUGCAGACGGUGGCGGCUGUGAGGACUAGAAUACCCUAAACCAACAGAGGGGUGGGAUGGGGCAGCAUGCCGCGGUCCUG
ensembl:lncRNA